rnacentral:lncRNA from 1 species
UUUAAUUUCUCCCUUCAUCCCAUUUCUUUAAGUGCUAUGCUAGCUAUUCAGAUGGAUAAAAGGGGUUUUUAUGAUAUCUCCAUAUUUAUGCACUUAUCUCCUUAAUUCUUUGACAUUUUGUUUCUUGAGGAGAAUGGGGAAGGCAGCCAUUGGAAAGCCAACUGAGCAACAGGUGAAGGUUUAUUAAGUGCAUAUUAUUGGAGACCGCACGUCUAUGUGGAAACGGGGUUCUCAGAAACCUACAGCAUGCCUCAUCUUUAGUUGUAUAUUGGAGACUUGCUUUGUCCCCUAUUCUGAAUGCGCUCACUUUUAGGAACAGAAACAAUAAAGAUCAGCACAUACAGUGUAUUCUUCAGUGGAUGAAAGGAGUGAUACUUGCCCUACUUGUAAACAGGUAACAACAUGCCGCGAGGAAAACGAUUCAGAGUUGCAGUCUCAGCUUGAGCAUACCUUACUUGUAAACAG